GAAGAGAGGAGCUUGCUCUUCUUGGAUGAGUUGCGAACGGGUGAGUAACGCGUAGGUAACCUGCCUUGUAGCGGGGGAUAACUAUUGGAAACGAUAGCUAAUACCGCAUAACAAUGGAUGACACAUGUCAUUUAUUUGAAAGGGGCAAUUGCUCCACUACAAGAUGGACCUGCGUUGUAUUAGCUAGUAGGUGAGGUAACGGCUCACCUAGGCGACGAUACAUAGCCGACCUGAGAGGGUGAUCGGCCACACUGGGACUGAGACACGGCCCAGACUCCUACGGGAGGCAGCAGUAGGGAAUCUUCGGCAAUGGGGGCAACCCUGACCGAGCAACGCCGCGUGAGUGAAGAAGGUUUUCGGAUCGUAAAGCUCUGUUGUAAGUCAAGAACGAGUGUGAGAGUGGAAAGUUCACACUGUGACGGUAGCUUACCAGAAAGGGACGGCUAACUACGUGCCAGCAGCCGCGGUAAUACGUAGGUCCCGAGCGUUGUCCGGAUUUAUUGGGCGUAAAGCGAGCGCAGGCGGUUUGAUAAGUCUGAAGUUAAAGGCUGUGGCUCAACCAUAGUUCGCUUUGGAAACUGUCAAACUUGAGUGCAGAAGGGGAGAGUGGAAUUCCAUGUGUAGCGGUGAAAUGCGUAGAUAUAUGGAGGAACACCGGUGGCGAAAGCGGCUCUCUGGUCUGUAACUGACGCUGAGGCUCGAAAGCGUGGGGAGCGAACAGGAUUAGAUACCCUGGUAGUCCACGCCGUAAACGAUGAGUGCUAGGUGUUGGAUCCUUUCCGGGAUUCAGUGCCGCAGCUAACGCAUUAAGCACUCCGCCUGGGGAGUACGACCGCAAGGUUGAAACUCAAAGGAAUUGACGGGGGCCCGCACAAGCGGUGGAGCAUGUGGUUUAAUUCGAAGCAACGCGAAGAACCUUACCAGGUCUUGACAUCCCGAUGCUAUUUCUAGAGAUAGAAAGUUACUUCGGUACAUCGGUGACAGGUGGUGCAUGGUUGUCGUCAGCUCGUGUCGUGAGAUGUUGGGUUAAGUCCCGCAACGAGCGCAACCCCUAUUGUUAGUUGCCAUCAUUCAGUUGGGCACUCUAGCGAGACUGCCGGUAAUAAACCGGAGGAAGGUGGGGAUGACGUCAAAUCAUCAUGCCCCUUAUGACCUGGGCUACACACGUGCUACAAUGGUUGGUACAACGAGUUGCGAGUCGGUGACGGCAAGCUAAUCUCUUAAAGCCAAUCUCAGUUCGGAUUGUAGGCUGCAACUCGCCUACAUGAAGUCGGAAUCGCUAGUAAUCGCGGAUCAGCACGCCGCGGUGAAUACGUUCCCGGGCCUUGUACACACCGCCCGUCACACCACGAGAGUUUGUAACACCCGAAGUCGGUGAGGUA
rnacentral:rRNA from 1 species